rnacentral:rRNA from 1 species
ACGCACGCUGGCGGCGUGCUUAACACAUGCAGGUCGAACGAGAGCGUAGAGAAAGCUUGCUUUUUCUACAAUCUAGUGGCAAACGGGUGAGUAACGCGUAAACAACCUGCCCUACGGAUGGGGACAACAGCUGGAAACGGCUGCUAAUACCGAAUACGUUCCGAAAGUCGCAUGACUAUCGGAAGAAAGGAUGGCCUCUAUUUAUAAGCUAUCGCCGGAGGAGGGGUUUGCGUCUGAUUAGCUAGUUGGAGGGGUAACGGCCCACCAAGGCGACGAUCAGUAGCCGGUCUGAGAGGAUGAACGGCCACAUUGGAACUGAGACACGGUCCAGACUCCUACGGGAGGCAGCAGUGGGGAAUCUUCCGCAAUGGGCGAAAGCCUGACGGAGCAACGCCGCGUGAGUGAAGACGGCCUUCGGGUUGUAAAGCUCUGUUAUACGGGACGAAUAAUCUUGUGGUUAAUACCCAUGAGAAGUGACGGUACCGUAAGAGAAAGCCACGGCUAACUACGUG